ensembl:lncRNA
GGGUAAGCCUCGACGACCGUAGGAUGGAAAAGAUGGGAUUGUGUGUCCGUGGGGCUCUUGCCGAUGUCCGAUGGGGGGCUUGAUACUCGCGGCAUCGGAUGGCUUGCAUAUUGGGUAGAUCGGUUUGGCGACCGAAAAACAUGGAAAGGUAACGGUUGUCUGGCCAGGAGGCUCUCGCCAGCGUCCGAUGGGAGCACACGCAUCGAACAGGUAAGCCUCACUGGCCGAAGGAUAGAAAAGGUAAGGUUGUCUAACCGGGAGGCUCUCACCAACAUCCGAUGGGAGCUCCACUCCAGGCAUCGAAUGGGUAAACCUCUCUGGGCGUAAGACAGAACAGCAAUGUAGAGUAGCCGGGCGGCUCUCACCUACAUCCGAUGGGAGGUCCAACUCCAUGCAUCGAACGGGUAAGCCUUGCUGGCCGCAGAAUAGAAAAGGUAAGGUCGUCUAGCUGGGAGGCUCUCGCCGGCAUCCGAUGGGAGCUCGAGCUCCUGGAAUCGAAGAGGUAAGCCUCACUGACCAUAGAAUAGAAAAGGUAAGGUUAUCUAGCCAGGAGGCUCUCGCCGGCAUCCAGUGGGAGUUUAAUACUUGCGACACCAGAUGGGUAAGUCUCUCUGACCAUGAGAGGGGAAAGUUAAGGUUGUUUAGUUGCGACGCUCUCGCCGGUGUUCGGCGGGAGCUUAAUGCUUGCAGUAUCGGAUGGGUACAUCUCGCCGAUCGUAGAAUGGAAACGGAGGCUUUUCGCUGGCCUCCCAUGGGGGCUCGAAACUCUAAUAUUGGAUAGGUCAGCUUGGCGACCGUAGUACGGAAAAAGUAAGGUUGUCUAGCCUGGAGGCUCUCGUCGACGUCCGAUGGGAGCACACUGCAUCGAACGGGUAACCCUCGCUGGCCGUAAAAUAGAAAUGAUAAAGUUGUGUGGCCGGGAGGCUCUCGCCGGCAUCCGGUUGGAGCUCAAUACUCAUGGUGCCGGAUGGGUAAGUCUCGCUGACCGUAAAAGGGGAAAGUUAAGGUUGUUUAACUGGGAAGCUCUCGCCGACGUUCGAUGGGAGCACACUGCAUCAAAUGGGUAAGCCUCGCUGGCCGUAAAACAGAAAAGGUAAAGUUGUGUGGCCGGGAGGCUCUCGCCGGCAUCCGACAGGAGCUCAAUGCUCGGUGCACGGAUGGGUAAGCAACACCGUUAGUUGAAAGAAAACUUUCACUCGACCUGGAAAGCUACUGCAGCAUCUGACGGGAGUUUAAUACUUGCGGCAUCAGACAGGUAAACCUCGCUGGUAGUUGGAUGGAAAAGGCAAG